GAAAAUUUUAGUCAUUCUCGUCAUCUUUUCCCUUCACCGAAAUACAAAGAAUAAAGGAAAAAAUUUGUGGUUUUCUUCUUCCAUGGCCAUUUAUCAUCUAAGGAAAAUAGGUAAGUUUUCAAGUAAUUUUUUGUUAAAUUUUUAGGCUAAAUGCUAGAUUUUCAUUGCCCAUUAAGUAGAUUUUUCAAUUAAGUUAGAUAAGUUAACUUGCCAUUGUUGAAGCUUAAGAAAAUUUAGGUUUUGAGAGUUGACUUCAUGCAUGUGUGAUGUUGGGCUGAUCCAUGGUUGAAUCACGUUAGUAAUAUAAUGGAAAUUGUUAAAUCAUUAGGGACCCAUUUGUAAGAAAGAAAAGCUUUAGAAAUAGAUGUUAUAAAUUGAUAAUUCGAGGUUUCUUGAGAAUGAAUACGAAAUCGGGUUAUGGUUCGAUAGACUAAAUAUCGAGAUAUCAAGAUACGAGCAUUUCGGAUAUAAAGAUUUAAAAGGGACUUAUUUGUAAAGUAUGUAACUAUGCUUAGCUUUGGUUAUGUUUUAGUGAAUCUAAUACUAUUUCGUAAAUGAAUAAUUCAAUGUAGUUGAGAGAAGGUCGGAUUUUCGAGGGUUAAAGGCGAGAAUGUUCGUCGAAUCGGUUUGUGCUAGCAUAAUUUGAUUUUCUCACAUAUAAAUUUUAAGUAAUUAGCUUAUUCAAAUAUAAAUCAUAAAUAAUAGAAUGAGUAUUGAAAUAUCAUGAAUAUAUAUGCAUGAGUAUAUAUUCUAUGUUAUAAUGAAAAACUAUGGAAAGUUAGACAAUAAUAUGAAUGUUUGAUGUAAAUCUAUUAUAAUGCAUGAAUGACAUGUGAAAGAAUGAAAAUGUAAUAGAAGUAAUAUGAAAGGUUAUGUAAUGAUUAGUAUUAUGUGAACUAUUGCUUGGUAAUAUUGUAAAUGCCCUAUUAAACGAUCUCCGAUAGAGUCGUUUAUAGUUGGCAUGUCAUAGUAUUAGUUAUAUGGCGAUUUCUUUGGUUUAUACUAAUGAGGUGCGGAGCUCAUAUUACUUUGGACGUACCGAUGAAGUGCGGAGAACACAUUACUUCGGUUUAUACCGUUGAGGCGUGAAACGCAUAUUACUUUGGACAUACCAAUGAUGCAUUAGGUGCAAUUUAUAUUGGUUUGAUGAUGAGAUGAUCUAUGUACCCGUCUUGAGUCAAUGUUCAGUUGAUAAGGGUUGUAAACUAUUUUACAUGAUUGAUUAUUUUAAUUGAUAUGGGAAAAAUGAAUAAAUCAUGUUGAUUUGAUGAAUUGAAUGUAAUGAAUAAUAGCAUGUGAAGGACCAUGCGGAUUGAGUGCGAUGAGCCUUGAGGGCCAAUAAUGUUAUGAAACGAGUUAUGCUACUCGAUUUGGUGUAACUGAGAUAUGGAUAUUGAUUUGAAAAUGUCAAAAGUUAUAAAUAAUAUUGACAUAGUAUGGAU
rnacentral:lncRNA from 1 species